rnacentral:tRNA from 1 species
UCCCUGGUGGCCUAGCAGUUAAGGUCUUAGCAUUGUCACUGCUGUGGCUUGGGUUAGAUCCCUGACCUGGGAA